GACACGGUCCAAACUCCUACGGGAGGCAGCAGUGAGGAAUAUUGGUCAAUGGGCGAGAGCCUGAACCAGCCAAGUAGCGUGAAGGAUGACUGCCCUAUGGGUUGUAAACUUCUUUUAUAAAGGAAUAAAGUCGGGUAUGUAUACCCGUUUGCAUGUACUUUAUGAAUAAGGAUCGGCUAACUCCGUGCCAGCAGCCGCGGUAAUACGGAGGAUCCGAGCGUUAUCCGGAUUUAUUGGGUUUAAAGGGAGCGUAGAUGGAUGUUUAAGUCAGUUGUGAAAGUUUGCGGCUCAACCGUAAAAUUGCAGUUGAUACUGGAUAUCUUGAGUGCAGUUGAGGCAGGCGGAAUUCGUGGUGUAGCGGUGAAAUGCUUAGAUAUCACGAAGAACUCCGAUUGCGAAGGCAGCCUGCUAAGCUGCAACUGACAUUGAGGCUCGAAAGUGUGGGUAUCAAACAGGAUUAGAUACCCUGGUAGUCCACACGGUAAACGAUGAAUACUCGCUGUUUGCGAUAUACAGCAAGCGGCCAAGCGAAAGCGUUAAGUAUUCCACCUGGGGAGUACGCCGGCAACGGUGAAACUCAAAGGAAUUGACGGGGGCCCGCACAAGCGGAGGAACAUGUGGUUUAAUUCGAUGAUACGCGAGGAACCUUACCCGGGCUUAAAUUGCAGAUGAAUUACGGUGAAAGCCGUAAGCCGCAAGGCAUCUGUGAAGGUGCUGCAUGGUUGUCGUCAGCUCGUGCCGUGAGGUGUCGGCUUAAGUGCCAU
rnacentral:rRNA from 1 species